rnacentral:lncRNA from 1 species
GGCCUAAAUUGGUGGUCUUAUGGACAUUGUUAAGGGGGCCAAUAUAUUGUCAUAUAAAGUGUAGGACUAAUGUGUAGAUACCCAAAAGGGUACCUUAGUUAAUGAUGGGCUAACUAAGGUUACAUAUAUGUAACCAUGGUUACAUGCUUGUGACUCUUGAGUUAUGUAACUCUUGUGACUCUUGCGUUAUGUAACUCAUGAAGUUAUAAAGUGGGGGUUAUGGUUCCCACAUUAGUGCAAGACAUGACUCUUCUUCCUCCCAUUGAAUCAAGAGCCAAACUACUCCAUUGUUGUCUUGCAAAUAGUGUGGAAAACCAUAAACCAUUUUGAUCAUU